CAAUAGCGUAUACUAAAGUUGCUGCAGUUAAAAAGCUCGUAGUUGGAUUUCUGGUCGUGGUCGCCGGUCGUGCCCAAACGGGUUCUGUACCUGGCGCCCGCGUCCAUCCUCGGGGAGAGCGUGUCUGGCAUUAAGUUGUCGGGCUCGGGACCCCCGUCAUUUACUGUGAGCAAAAUAGAGUGUUCAAAGCAGGCUUAGGCCAUGAAUACAUUAGCAUGGAAUAAUAAGAUAAGACCUUGGUCUAUUUUGUUGGUUUGCAUUCCAAGGUAAUGAUUAAUAGGGAUAGUUGGGGGUAUUCGUAUUCAAUUGUCAGAGGUGAAAUUCUUGGAUUUAUGGAAGACGAACUACUGCGAAAGCAUUUACCAAGGAUGUUUUCAUUAAUCAAGAACGAAAGUUAGGGGAUCGAAGACGAUCAGAUACCGU
rnacentral:rRNA from 1 species